GUGUGUGUGUCCCCUAUAUAACAGGUGUGUGUGUCCCCUAUAUAACAGGUGUGUCCCCUAUAUAACAGGUGUGUCCCCUAUAUAACAGGUGUGUGUGUCCCCUAUAUAACAGGUGUGUGUGUCCCCUAUAUAACAGGUGUGUGUGUUCCCU